GGUUGUGGCUCAGUGGUAGAGCGCUCGCCUAGCAUACAAGAGGCACUGGGUUUGAACCUCAGCACCA
rnacentral:tRNA from 1 species